rnacentral:rRNA from 1 species
UACGUAGGGUGCAAGCGUUGUCCGGAAUUAUUGGGCGUAAAGAGCUCGUAGGCGGUUCGUCGCGUCGGCUGUGAAAACCCGGAGCUCAACUCCGGGCCUGCAGUCGAUACGGGCGGACUUGAGUGUUGCAGGGGAGACUGGAAUUCCUGGUGUAGCGGUGAAAUGCGCAGAUAUCAGGAGGAACACCGGUGGCGAAGGCAGCUCGCUGGGACGGUACUGACGCUGAGGUGCGAAAGCGUGGGGAGCGAACAGG